UGCCUCGGGCCUGCAGCAAGGGAGAAAAGCAGGGAGGAGAAAGGGGGUGGGUUCGUUGUGUCUGUGCAUGUGAAGAGUUCAGAGGGAAAAACUUGGUUAAGAAGUUACCAGGACACCCCACUUAGCAGUGGUGGCUUCACAGACUAGGAUGCUGUAAGACUUUUCCAUGCAAGAUGCAGGCUGGGCAGCCUACCACCUGCUUGGCCCUCCAAAAGCCCGUGGUGAAGGACAAGUGCUCUGCUCUCGCCUCGGUGCAGGAGGCUGCAAGGGGAAACUCGAUGGGCCAUGCAAACCGAGCCAAGGCUGUUCUUGGAAACAUGGAAAGGUGAUUAUGGAUAAUCUGACGGAUUGUGGCCGGAACCAGAAGAUCCUGGGGACGCAUAAGGAGGUUUAAGUCCCUGAACGUCAUCAGUUCUCUGCAUCCUGGCCCUAGGUGGGGAGGUGGCCUGUCCCCCCUAUGCUCAGGGAUGCUUGCAAAGAGAUAUAACAGACUCGGUGAAUAUCAGAGCCUUGCUAUUGUGUUUUAAAUUAAUUCUCUGACCUAUAGCUUCAUCUGCCAUAGUAUGAAUGAACAUUACAGACUGAACAUUAGAUAUUUAUGUUCAUUUAACAAUCUGUAAUAAGCUAUCGGGGCUGAUUUUGACAUGUACAUUGAAGUUAUUGCUUUUUUAUCAAUAUCACGGUACAUUUGUCAGCAGAGAAUGAUAAUUGUAUUGCUAUGUAUAUAACUGAUGUUGUAGUGGGACAUGCUCUACACUGUGCACAAAUUGAAUACAUUUCAUCUUAAAUACAAACCUAUUAAUUAAAAUCAGAGGGAAAUAGAGAGCUUUAAACUGCCACCUAUGAAGCAUCUCUGAGCAGCAUCUUCUCCUGUAUCUUCAUGUUCUCCAGUAAACCACCUGGAGUCUCACACAAUUGGCUAUAUAUAUUUAUUUUACAAGCAAGGAGGAAAUGCAUGGUCAAAGGCUUGAAUGUCUGAAAUCAAGGGCACAAAAAGUAGGAUAAAAACAGACAAAAAAAAAAGGCUGAUAAGGCUGCUGUAAAAGUCUGAGAGCUUAUUUCUAUACCAUAGCAGGCAUGAAGCAGCAUCUGCUGUAGUUAUUGCAGCAAGAAUAGCUUUCGUUCCGUUCCUUGCUUUUCACACACUAGUAACUUAGACAAAUGCACUGCAUAUGUGGACACAGGUAGUCAUCUGCACUUCUCAAAAGUAUCCAGCCAACGCUGAGUUUUAAUUACUUCAAACUUCGAUAUUAAUUUCCUUCCAACCUGGCUGCUUUUUUUAGAGCCAACGAUGAACUAAAUAUGAGGCCAGAUUUCAAGGAAGAGUAAGUUCAAAGCAAGAAAUCCCUUUAAAAUGACAAAUCUUAACUCGCAUUUACUAGAAUAUACAGGUUUAUGUGUGCAAGAAGAGAAUAAUUCAAUAAGCCAGUCACGGCACCAAAGAUCUGGGAAGGAUUUCUCGGCCAUACUUCAACAGAGAUCAUAAGAAAGAGAACGAGUCAGACCAUACUUGAAAGCUGAUUGCCCAUUAUUCCGGUGUGAUGAUUGUUAACAUUAAGGUUUUCUGCAGUUCAGGUAGCAGAAGCGCUGAAAUGCUGUUGUUUUUAUCAACUGCCCAAAGUGUAACAGAGUGGCAGUAAAAAUCUGCUGAGGGAAGAGCAGGUAGUACAGGAUGGGAGGCCAAGCACUGCGAUAGAGAAGCUCCAGAUUUGUAAUCAUCCGAGGGACUAGAUAUGGAGUUACAGUGAAAAGUAAAGAUUCAGCAC